GUCAUCACGUUGGCAGAACAUAUACUACAAUUGGAGCAAUAAAGAGAAUAUCAGUUUGGUCCCUAUGCAAGAAUGACAUAAAAAUUCAUGAAGUGUUCCAUAUUUAA
ensembl:snRNA Gm26257 predicted gene, 26257